rnacentral:rRNA from 1 species
UACGGAGGAUGCGAGCGUUAUCAGGAUUUAUUGGGUUUAAAGGGUGCGCAGGCGGCGUGUCAAGUCAGCGGUAAAAUGUCGGGGCUCAACCCCGGCCGGCCGUUGAAACUGGGGAUCUAGAGUGUGCGAGAGGUAUGCGGAAUGCGUGGUGUAGCGGUGAAAUGCAUAGAUAUCGCGCAGAACUCCGAUUGCGAAGGCAGCAUGCCGGCUCCACACUGACGCUGAGGCACGAAAGCGUGGGUAUCGAACAGG